UACAGAGGUCUCAAGCGUUGUUCGGAUUCAUUGGGCGUAAAGGGUGCGUAGGUGGCGUCGUAAGUCAGGUGUGAAAUCUCGGAGCUUAACUCCGAAACUGCAUUUGAUACUGCGGUGCUUGAGGACUGGAGAGGAGACUGGAAUUUACGGUGUAGCAGUGAAAUGCGUAGAGAUCGUAAGGAAGACCAGUGGCGAAGGCGGGUCUCUGGACAGUUCCUGACACUGAGGCACGAGGGCCAGGGGAGCAAACGGG
rnacentral:rRNA from 1 species